AGGAUUAACGCUGGCGGCGUGCAUGAAACAUGCAAGUCGAGCGCGGUGUGAUGCGGGGUAACCCAAUUCACAUCUAGCGGCGAACGGGUGAGUAACACGUGAGCAACCUACCUUUGAGUUGGGGAUAGCCCUGGGAAACCAGGAUUAAUACCCGAUGUGGUCACAACAGGACAUCCUGAUGUGAGUAAAGGCGUAAGCCGCUCAAUGACGGGCUCGCGGCCUAUUAGCUUGUUGGUGGGGUAACGGCCUACCAAGGCGAUGAUGGGUAGCUGGUCUGAGAGGACGAUCAGCCACACUGGGACUGAGACACGGCCCAGACUCCUACGGGAGGCAGCAGUUAGGAAUUUUCCGCAAUGGGCGAAAGCCUGACGGAGCAACGCCGCGUGAGUGAUGAAGACCUUCGGGUUGUAAAGCUCUGUCGGAGGGAAGAACACAAUGACGGUACCCUCCAAGAAAGCCCCGGCUAACUACGCGCCAGCAGCCGCGGUAA
rnacentral:rRNA from 1 species